UCCUUCAGGUCACAGGAGCUAAGGGUCAUCGUCGAGUGAAAUAUGUCAGAAAAGUUAAGUGAGGGAGGGUCUGGCUGCUGGGAAAACAAGUGGAGAGAACCAGUGGCCAUAGAAGGGAAACCAGUUCUUGACUGAAGAUGACCACUGCGUAUUGGCCACCCUGAUUUGGCAGACGGCCCAUGAUGUUGCAGAGAGAACAGCGGCACACACUAUCCAUCUUGGCUGCACUGGAACAGGCUUCUCGGGAAGGAGAAUUGGAUGCCAGAGCCCUUGAAUUGCACGAUAGCUGAUCUCGGAAGAAGAAGAGGCGGUUGCCUCCACUCAGCCCCGCUCCAUCAAGCUCCUCACCUCUGUGCACAAGCCACCAGCCUUCCCUGGCAGGCUCUCACUUCUUCAGCCUGAUUGGGAGGCAGGUGCCUGCUCUCUGGGCAUGUUUUAUUUCCUACCGCUACGGCCAACCCAUCACUGAAUUUACUCUGAAAUGAGAAGGGGCUAAUGGAUUUGAUGACUCUCAAUAAGUUGUGUAUCCUUGAAGAUGCUAUUUUCAGGAAAGUCUCAUGUCUCCAAUACGUUAGGAUGCUGGUUGUUUUGUGGCCUCUUCACUCUGCGGUGGGAACUCUGCUCCAGCUGGGCAACCGUGCAACUGGGCUGAAGAGACAAGGGUAGAAGAAAAAGCAGGCUGAGAAUGCAUAGAAGCUUAACAUCUCUGGAUGACCUGAUGACUAAUGCAGAUAUUCACGAGGGGGAAACUGAGCUCAGAGAGAUGACACGAGGCAAAAAGUUUAUGGCAAAAGAGUAAUGAAGAUAAAGGACUCCUGGGACUUGAUCUAGUUUUCAGUAUUUAAUUUUCAAGAGCAAAUAUAUU